rnacentral:tRNA from 1 species
ACUUUUUUAGUAUAAAAGUACAGUUGCCUUCCAAGCAAAAAGAUUGAUAGCCAAAAAAAGU